AUGGUCGACCACCGGCAACUGGGUGUCGCCGACGCCGACCUCUACGCCGUCCUGGGGCUCAAGAAGGAGUGCUCCGACGCCGACCUCAGGCUCGCCUACCGGAGGCUCGCCAUGACAUGGCAUCCGGACCGGUGCUCCGCGUCCGGCAGCUCGGCGCGCGUCCAGGAGGCCAAGGAGCGGUUCCAGGAGAUCCAGAGCGCAUACUCCGUGCUCUCCGACUCCGGCAAGCGGCUCCUCUACGACGUCGGCGUCUAUGACAGCGACGACGACCGCCUCGACGAGCAACAUGUGUCGGGGAUGGGCGGCUUCUUCGGGGAGAUGGCCGAGAUGAUGAGCCAGGCAACGCCAACCGAUAGCUUCGAGGAGCUGCAGCAGCUGUUCGUGGACAUGUUCCAGGCCGACCUCGUCGCCGGCGGGUUCGGCGGUGCGCCACCUAUGGGCCGCCGGGUCCAGGCCCCGGCUCCGAGUCCAUCCUGUACCUCUGGACCUACGUCUGCGCAGGCACGGCCGUCCUGUAACAAGGGUGUGAACAAGCGGUGUUCAUCGGCGAUGGGCUCUGGGACGCCGCCAAGGGCCUGUCGCCCAGGGUCCGCCUCCGGCCCCGGCCUUGACUCCAAGGGAAGUGAUGGGAGGCGAGGGGAGGAAGGGCCAUGGACGACGACGCAGGAAGACGCGAGCAUCGGCGGCAGGAAGAAGAAACAGAGGCUGUCGACGGGCCACGGCGUGUCGUCCUAG
rnacentral:rRNA from 1 species